CACAAGUCACACCGUCGCAAAUUCUUCACUGCAAGCGCACAAAUCCUAUGCUACAAAUCACAAAUUAAGAAACUCAUACUCUCGCUUUUUUUUUUUUUUUUUACAGUUGCUGCAGUGAAUAUGGUGCAAAACACAUUCACACAUCUGUAUCAAGAAAUGUGAAGUCAUGGACAAAUUUUGCACAUGCGCAGAUCAGUAUGUGAACUCGUGCGAUGAGACUUGCAUACCUGUAGAAUAUUUUCUCACAAAUACGAUUUUUUUCUUGGACAUUUUCCUAGCACAAACACAAGCCACUAACUACAACUGCUUGAAUCUGCCGCUAAUCAAAUGCUCUUUUUUUCGCUCACAAACGACAAGUUCCGCGCGCUCACAUAUCUCCGUGGCACGCGGAGUAAAAGUGAUCUGUGCACCUGUAGAGCCAGGGGCGGGCACUGUUCAGAGAGCACAGAACUGGGCCAAUCAGAGGAGCUCGUUUGGGCGCCUGUCUCACGGCGAAAAAAAAAACAACUCCAGACAGCUUCGUCUUGCCGAGCUGGUACCUGAUGUUUAAGAAAAAUGACAGAUCAGAGUGGGGCUUUGCAGGUCUGUUUUAUGAAAAACGGAUAAAUUAUUAAAUGAGGUGCUCUACUGGAUUGAGAUGUGGAGACUGUGCAGUCCAUCCAGCUCCUGUGAACACAGAAACCCCAGGAGCAGAGAGCCUGUCCAGCCCAUGAGCAGCACUUCACUCUCUUCCCAAAUCAGCCCAAAACAACCCCUUCCAGAUAGUUCCCUUAUGCAGGCUGCCUCAGUCAAUCACCCUAACCCUGCCCAUCAGCUCAGCAACAGCACUGCAGAACUCACAUGACUGGAAAAACAAGCACCAAUACACUGCAGCCCACGGAUUUAAACACUUAUCCGUUCUGCAUUGUCAUCUGUGAGCAAAAAAACAGCAUCUGAGCCUCGGAGCAGCAGAUUCAAGCAGCUGUAGUUAGUGACUUGUGUUUGUGCUAGAAAAAUGUCCAAGAAAUGGAUUUGUGUACCUGCAGUGAAAAAUUUGAGAAGGUGUGAAUGUUGUGUUUGUGGGAGAGAAACAAAAUUCUACAAGUUUGCAACUCUUAAAGCAUUUUUCCCUGUGACUUCAAAUUUUCUGAUACACGUGUGACUAAUUCCACUGUCCCAGGUGCUCAGCGGUUUUGCUCCAAUAAUACCUUCAUAUGCAAACUCAUCAGGGGUGAACAAGGGGGUUCAGGGACAGCCCUCCUCAGUCUUUAUGUGAUGCACAUCUUUAUGAGAAGCCAGGAGCUUUUUACUUAUUUAUUUUGGACAACUCAUAAGGUAUGGUUCUCAUUUAAAUGUAAAAUGUAAAUAGAGCUGAGUUAUAGUUACAUUUGCCAAAUAAAUAGGUGAUGAAAUGUGUAAAAUAUUUUACAAAUGUUUUGAAACAAUAACCUUUACUGUUCAGAGGACAUUGAUAUUUUUCAAAAUAAAAGUUAAAAUAAAAUCAGUAAAAGAUAAACUUGCUAAAGUAAAGAGUGCAGCACAUUCUAGCGACCAUGCAUAAUACUGUCCAUCUUAUUUUGGAUCAAUUCUUUCAACCAUCAAGAAGCUAUUGAAUUUUUUUUUCAAAAUAAAUAUUCAUACAAAUUAUGCAACAGUUAACCUUCCAAGUAAAGUGUGUAGCAUAUUUACCAGAAGGUGCACAAUAAUGUACAAGUUGCUUUGGAUCAAUACACGCAAUUGUUUAGAAGCUACUGAAUUCUGUAACAGCAAAAGUUGCCAAAAUAAGAAGACUAAUAUUGCAUAAUUUUGGAAGUUUUGGAACAAUACAUUUAUCUGUUCAGCAGGUAUUAAUUUUUUUUUCAAUAAUAGAUGUUUAAAAAUCACUAAACUAAUCAUGAGAAGGUGCACAGUAAUCUACUUGGAUCAACAUACUUGUCCAUACUUGUCCAAAUAGUAUUGUAGAAUUGUAGAAGGCAUGCACUGGUUUUGAGAUAGCCUACUGUCUUAAUUCUAAUUAUUUUCAAUUGCAAAAUUCAGCUCAUCAGGGUCUGUGUAGGUGGUAGUGGGGUGGAGUGAGUGCUGUAAGGUGCUGCUGUGGUUCAUGUCAAUCUGUUCACACUGUUCUUUUCUGUCGCACUUUAUCGACGGUCCCUAACGGCUCCGGAUCAGGGGCUCUGGAGAAUGUAGAAAAUGUUCCGCUCGCUCCGGAUCGCGAUUUGAUUAAACAUUUGAAACAUUGACUCUCCUUUCGAUGACAAAUUCAAUUCAUGUAGUCUAGUCCGGGAACUGAAAGAAACUUUACCGCAGUACCUAGCCAGCUGUUUUCAGUCUGCUGUAAGCUAAAUAAAGUACAGUAGCGGGAGGUGAUGGUUAAGCGGAGAGGAGAAGCUCAGAUCUGGUGCAUUAGUGCAGAUUCAUGAGCCAGUGUGAGGCUUUAGCUAAAAUGUAACUGAUACCUAAGCAGAACGAAAACACUGGGAACAAUGUGCUGGCCAAAUGCGUCAUGGUGAAGUCCUCGUGACUGCGCUCGUACUGUACCUUGUUG